rnacentral:rRNA from 1 species
AGUGAACGCUGGCGGUAGGCCUAACACAUGCAAGUCGAACGGAAGCACAGUAAGAGCUUGCUCUUACGGGUGGCGAGUGGCGGACGGGUGAGGAAUACAUCGGAAUCUACUUUUUCGUGGGGGAUAACGUAGGGAAACUUACGCUAAUACCGCAUACGUUCUACGGGUGAAAGCAGGGGAUCUUCGGACCUUGCGCGACUGAAUGAGCCGACGUCGGAUUAGCUAGUUGGUGGGGUAAAGGCCCACCAAGGCGACGAUCCGUAGCUGGUCUGAGAGGAUGAUCAGCCACACUGGAACUGAGACACGGUCCAGACUCCUACGGGAGGCAGCAGUAGGGAAUAUUGGACAAUGGGCGCAAGCCUGAUCCAGCCAUACCGCGUGGGUGAAGAAGGCCUUCGGGUUGUAAAGCCCUUUUGUUGGGAAAGAAAAGCAGCAGGUUAAUACCCCGCUGUUCUGACGGUACCCAAAGAAUAAGCACCGGCUAACUUCGUG